rnacentral:rRNA from 2 species
CCUGGUGGCCAUUGCGGGGACCCAAACACCCGAUCCCAUCCCGAACUCGGAAGUGAAACGCCCCAGCGCCAAUGGUACUGCGUCUCAAGACGUGGGAGAGUCGGUCGCCGCCAGGC